rnacentral:sRNA from 1 species
CACACUUUCAUUAAGUAUGCUGCUAU